CCAGUGUUAUUUUUCUUUCAAUUUUUGGGGAUUGAUUAUUUUAUCUGUAGUAUGUCCAGUUGAAUCUCUUGCUCAUCAUAGACAUAGAAUCAGCUGAAUCAAUCUAGAGGAGAGAAGAUGGAGAGCACCAUGAAAGAGAUGAGAGGCGGGGAAACAGUGCUUGAUUUGUCCCCCCAGAGCCACUGUAGGUGGCGGCGUUAAGGAUGUUUACGGUGAUGAUUGCGCCACCGAGGACCAACUCGUCACCCCAUGAACUUACUCUGUUGCAAGUGGAUAUUCAUUGUUGAGGGAUCCCCACCAUAACAAAGGGCUUGCCUUCACUGAGAAAGAAAGAGAUUCUCACUACUCGCGUGGUUUACUCCCUCCUGCUGUUGUCACUCAACAGCUUCAGGAGAAGAAAUUGAUGAACAAUAUCAGGAAAUAUCAAGUUCCCCUGCAAAAAUACAUGUCCAUGAUGAAACUUUAGGAAAGGAAUGAGAGACUGUUUUACAAGCUGCUGAUCGAUAAUGUUGAGGAGCUGCUCCCAAUUGUUUAUACCCCAACCGUAGACGAAACUUGCCAGAAGUACGGGAGCAUCUUCAGGCGUCCGUAGGGUCUUUAUAUAAAGAGAAGGGAAAAGUUCUUGAUGUCUUGAAGAACUGGCCGGAAAGAAGUAUUCAAGUUAUCGUCGUAACCGAUGGUGAGCGUAUUUUGGGCCUUGGGGAUCUUGGCUGUCAGGUGAAAUUGUUUAAAGUCCAUUUCUUUCAGUUAGAAACAUUUUUGUUGGUGCUUUGUUUAAAUUGCAGUUUUGGGAUUCUGUGAAAUAAAUGAAUAACUAGUUUUGGCCAUUGUUCGGUUGGAAAUUCAGGGGAUGGGAAUUCUUGUUGGGAAAUUGGCUUUGUCCACAGCACUCGGGGGGGGGGGGGGGGGGUUCGUCCUUCAGCAGUAAGCAUCGUCGAGUUCUUCAUUUGAUGUUCUUGAGAUAUACAUUUAUGGUUCUUAAGCUGAAAUUUUACAUGGUUGGAGAACUAGAAGUGAACUUUGAUAUAAACAACAAUUGUGAUGAUACUGUGUAGCUCUCAUAUUGAUUGAUUCUGCUUUAUAGUGUUUACCGGUGUCCAUCGAUGUCGGAAAAAAUAAUGAGAAGUUGUUGAAGGAUGAGUUCUACAUUGGGCUUCGACAAAGGAGGGAAACUGGGCAGGUUGGUGGAUUUUAACAGCAUAAUCAUUACGAACAUAUUGAUAAGAGGAAAA